CUCUAUUUGUUCUUCUGGAGGGGUUUUCUUGCAUGUUGUAGUUUCUAGGCCUUUCAGGGCAUUUUCAGCUGUCCCACCUUCCCUGAGGAUCUGCCAUGCCAGGAGAGGACACUUACUCAGUACCUACAGGCUGAAAUAGAGGGAGUGCAGAAGUGUCCUGAAGUGUGUUCUGGUGACGACUGGACUCUUUCUCCAUGGAGGACACAAAGCCAAAGGGGAUGGGGCUCCUGAAACAGGCACCUGUGAUGUUCCCUGCUUUUGAAGGGCUGAUAUGUGGCUUCAGCCCAUGCCUUAUUUGUUUAUUUUUAGAACAAAAGUACCAGCCUGUAAGGGAUACAGGAAGAGGGAGAUGUCAACAGCAACCAGGAGGAAGACAUUUGCAUCCAAGACGUGAUCACUCUGUGUUAACCUGUGCAAGCAGACCACAGACGAGUUUGGACCAGAAGCUGUUCAGCACAGACACCUGGUGCUUCACACAGACGAUAUUCACAGAAUCUAAGAGUUGUGCCAGGCCCUACCAGAGUAUUACCAAUAUUUAUCUAGACUGAGGUGUUUUUCGCCCUGUUGCAUUUGCAAGCUCUCUCGCCAUUGUUCUCACCUCUCUUUGGUAGGGAGGUGCCGCUGUGUUUGUCCCCAUGGUGGGGCUCAGGGGCCACCUGGCCGCUGUGUCUGCGUGUGUAGCCGUGGCACCCCCAAGGUAAGAGGAAGGUGCAGUGUCCUAUUUAUUUCAGAAGAGGCAGACCACUUUCUUUUUUUUUGGUUUUAUCUCUUUCCAGGCAGUUGGCUCGGUUUAAUGGACUGUCUUUCAGCCUGUGCAUAAUUCUUCCCCAAAUUAAAUUCUCUUAGAAGCCCAACAUAA